GACGAACGCUGGCGGCGUGCUUAACACAUGCAAGUCGAACGAAGUGGCGAACGGGUGAGUAACGCGUAAUCAACCUGCCCUUCAGAGGGGGACAACAGUUGGAAACGACUGCUAAUACCGCAUACUGAAGGAGGGGAUUGCGUCUGAUUUGCUAGUUGGGGGGGGAACGGCCCACCAAGGCGAUGAUCAGUAGCCUGUCUGAGAGGAUGAAAGGCCACAUUGGGACUGAGGCACGGCCCCGACUCCUAAGGGAGGUAGCAGUGGGGAAACUUCCGCAAAGGGCGAAAGUCUGGCGGAGCAACGCCGCGUGAGGGAUGACGGCCUUCGGGUUGUAAAGCUCUGUUAAUCGGGACGCGGUACCGGAAUAGAAAGCCACGGCUAACUACGUGCCAGCAGCCGCGGUAAUUC
rnacentral:rRNA from 1 species